ACGCUGGCGGCGUGCUUAACACAUGCAAGUCGAACGAUGAAGCCUAGCUUGCUAGGUGGAUUAGUGGCGAACGGGUGAGUAAUACGUGAGUAACCUACCUUUAACUCUGGGAUAAGCCUGGGAAACUGGGUCUAAUACCGGAUACGACCAAUCUCCGCAUGGAGUGUUGGUGGAAAGCGUUAUGUAGUGGUUAUAGAUGGGCUCACGGCCUAUCAGCUUGUUGGUGAGGUAACGGCUCACCAAGGCGACGACGGGUAGCCGGCCUGAGAGGGUGACCGGCCACACUGGGACUGAGACACGGCCCAGACUCCUACGGGAGGCAGCAGUGGGGAAUAUUGCACAAUGGGCGCAAGCCUGAUGCAGCGACGCCGCGUGAGGGAUGACGGCCUUCGGGUUGUAAACCUCUGUUAGCAGGGAAGAAGAGAAAUUGACGGUACCUGCAGAGAAAGCGCCGGCUAACUACGUGCCAGCAGCCGCGGUAAUACGUAGGGCGCGAGCGUUGUCCGGAAUUAUUGGGCGUAAAGAGCUUGUAGGCGGUUUGUCGCGUCUGCUGUGAAAGGCCGGGGCUUAACCCCGUGUAUUGCAGUGGGUACGGGCAGACUAGAGUGCAGUAGGGGAGACUGGAACUCCUGGUGUAGCGGUGGAAUGCGCAGAUAUCAGGAAGAACACCGAUGGCGAAGGCAGGUCUCUGGGCUGUAACUGACGCUGAGAAGCGAAAGCAUGGGGAGCGAACAGGAUUAGAUACCCUGGUAGUCCAUGCCGUAAACGUUGGGCACUAGGUGUGGGGGACAUUCCACGUUUUCCGCGCCGUAGCUAACGCAUUAAGUGCCCCGCCUGGGGAGUACGGCCGCAAGGCUAAAACUCAAAGAAAUUGACGGGGGCCCGCACAAGCGGCGGAGCAUGCG
rnacentral:rRNA from 1 species